rnacentral:rRNA from 1 species
CAGAGGGUGCGAGCGUUGUCCGGAAUCACUGGGCGUAAAGGGCGCGUAGGUGGCGCUCCAAGUCUGUGGUGAAAGCUCGAUGCUCAACAUCGAGUCGGCCACGGAGAUUGGAGGGCUCGAGCACUGUAGGGGCAGAUGGAAUUCCGGGUGUAGCGGUGGAAUGCGUAGAGAUCCGGAAGAACACCGGUGGCGAAGGCGGUCUGCUGGGCAGUUGCUGACACUGAGGCGCGACAGCGUGGGGAGCAAACAGGAUUAGAUACCCUGGUAGUCCACGCCGUAAACGAUGGGCACUAGAUGCUUGGGGGAGCGACCCCCUGAGUGUCGUCGCUAACGCAGUAAGUGCCCCGCCUGGGGAGUACGGCCGCAAGGCUG